ACUUAACUCAUACCUACUUCACCUCCAUCUCUAAAGCAAAUCUCAGUAACACAAUCACUUUGUUUCUCCUAACCUAGUAACCUCCCAAAAGCCACAAAAUAUAAUUUCGUCCGAAAUGGAUCGAAUCGAUCCAAAAAAUACACUUCCACAAAGUUUCAUUAAUAUCCAUUGAGUUAUUUGCUGAAUUUUGAAGAUGUUUUUUCACGUUGAUGGAGAAGAAACACCUUUGAGGCACAGGAUGAAAUAGAGAUGGUAAAAUAGUAUAGAAUGUGGGCUCCACCAACAGCAAUGAAUCAUGGGGGACCUCCAUUGAAUAAAUUGAUAGCUGUGGCCAUAGACAAAGAUAGAGGAAGCCAAGUUGCUCUAAAAUGGGCUGUUGAUAAUCUUUUAGCCAGGGGACAGACUAUUAUUUUGAUCCAUGUCAAAGUUAAAGCAUCCGGCACGCCUUUUUCUCAAUCAGGGAACAGGAUAAACCAGGAUGGUAGCAAUGAUGGAUCAGGAAUGACUGAAUUGGAUCCACAGUUGAAGGAACUCUUUCUUCCUUUCCGAGUAUUUUGUACACGUAAAGAUAUUCAGUGUCAUGAUGUUGUGCUAGAGGAUGCCGAUGUGGUCAAAGCAAUCGUUGAAUAUAUUAAUCGAACAGCUAUAGAAGUACUAAUUCUUGGUGCAGCAGCAAAAGGCGGCCUUCUCAGAUUUAAACUCAAAGAUAUUCCUGGAAAUGUGUUAAAAGGUGUUCCUGAUUUCUGCACUGUGUAUGUCAUCUCGAAAUCUGGAAAGAUUUCAUCAACACGAUCUGCUGCUCGUCUCGCACCAUUUGUCCACCCACUACGUCACCAGUUCACGCAGAAUGGCAACGUCAAAUCUAAUUCAUUUGAAGAUUUUAAUGUCCCUCCCAGAGGUUCUAUAUCUGGGAUUCCAAAGCCUGUAUCUGAUAUGCCCAUGUCCAACCUUCAUAGUGAUACAUUCAACAUGAAGUCCCCUUUCACUCAUAGGAAAGGCCCAAAUGGCAAACCAUAUGAGAUUUCUCAGCCAGAUACUGACAUAUCCUUUGUCAGUUCUGGUAGGCCAAGUAUUGACAAUAUGUUUCCUUCAUUUGCUGAUUCCUUUGAUAGCGGAACAACCCCACCCCGGCUAUCAGGUUUCUCUGAUUAUGAGGGGCAAAGUUUUGAACCCAUGCCCAUGGGGCGCAGAUCGUUGGACAUAAUGCCAUCAGAGAUGUCAUUUCUUUCAAUGGAGGGUGAUAGACCAUCAUUCUCCUCGACACCGGAUGACGUAGCAGCAGAAAUGAGAAGGCUGAAGCUGGAACUCAAGCAAACAAUGGAAAUGUAUAGUACAGCAUGCAAAGAAGCACUCACAGCACAACAAAAGGCGACAGAACUCCAGCGUUGGAAAGCAGAAGAACAAAGAAGAAUAGAAGAGGCAAGAUUUGCAGAAGAAGCUGCAUUAGCACUUGCAGAGAAGGAGAAGGCAAAAUCUCGAGCAGCCCUUGAGCAUGCAGAGGCAGCUCAGAGGCUUGCAGAACUAGAAUCUCAGAAGAGAAUUAAUGCAGAAAUGAAAGCUCUAAAAGAAGCAGAAGAGAGGAAUAAAGUACUAAAUAAACUUUCAAAUUCAGAUGUAAGGUAUAGAAGGUAUUCGAUAGAGGAGAUCGAAUCUGCAACGAACUACUUUGCUGAAUCUAAUAAAAUUGGAGAAGGAGGUUAUGGACCAGUGUACAAGUGUUACAUGGACCACACACAUGUUGCAGUUAAGGUCCUUCGCCCCGAUGCAGCUCAUGGAAGACAACAGUUUCAACAAGAGGUUGAAGUAUUGAGCUGCAUACGGCAUCCUAAUAUGGUGCUUCUUCUUGGAGCAUGUCCCGAGUAUGGUUGCUUAAUAUAUGAGUUUAUGUCCAACGGAAGCUUAGAAGACCGUCUAUUCCAGAAAGGAAAUUCACCAGCACUCUCUUGGCAGCAUAGAUUUAGAAUUGCUGCUGAAAUAGGUGCUGGUCUUCUUUUCUUACACCAAAGCAAACCAGAACCAAUAGUGCACCGUGAUCUAAAACCAGCAAAUAUUCUACUAGAUCGAAACUUUGUGAGUAAGAUUAGUGAUGUUGGUUUGGCUCGGCUUGUCCCUCCAUCAGUGGCAGAUACUGUAACUCAGUAUCGAAUGACAUCAACUGCUGGAACUUUCUGCUAUAUAGACCCCGAAUAUCAGCAAACGGGGAUGCUUGGUAUAAAAUCUGAUGUCUACUCUUUAGGUAUCAUAUUCUUGCAGAUACUAACAGCAAAACCACCUAUGGGUUUAACUCACCAUGUUGAGAGGGCAAUCGAUAAAGGUACAUUCAACGAUAUGCUUGAUUCAUCCGUUCCUGAUUGGCCCCGUGAUGAUGCUUUAAGCCUAGCUAAGUUAUCAUUGAAAUGUUCUGAGCUAAGAAGGAAAGAUAGACCAGAUCUAAGCAAGGUUAUUAUGCCGGAAUUAGAGAGAUUGAGAACACUUGGUGAAGAAAAUCCAUGCCAAACAGGCUUCUAUAGUUCAAGCCACUCAACAAAUCCGAGUCAAGCUUCCUUCUCCCAAGCAAGUCAACACGAAUAGAUUAACAACAUUCUAUCUUCGACGAAUACUUAACUUGUUAAUGAGUAGUGUGCAGGACAAAACUUUAGCUACCAAAACAAGAUGAUAUGGCUCUGAGAGCUCGAUGAUCACAUCGAUCAUGAAGCACGUACAUUCCUCUCAUAUAGAUUAGUAGAGAAUAGUUCUAACGUACUCGAGAGGAAGGGAAGAGCCAAAAGAGAAGUAAAGAAAAGUUUGAAGUGAUCAUUGUUUUUAUAGUAUAACAAAGGUUUGUACAUUUCCAUCCUUAUAUAAUAGUGAAAAUAGCAUUUGUAGUCCUUCAUUUAUUAUUUUAUUUUGAUUUUGAUUCCAGUAGUGUUCAAUUGUACACAUUUGGUUGUUAAUAAAUCCAAAUGUGCAACUUUGGUCCCUCUCUAGUCUAAAUCAUCUAUCUCUCUGGACAUUUUGUCUGACUAAA